GAUGAAGAACGUAGCGAACGUGCGAAACGUAAUGUGAAUUGCAGAAUUCAGUGAAUCAUCGAAUCUUUGAACGCAUCUUGCGCUCCUUGGUAUUCCGAGGAGCAUGCCUGUUUGAGUGUCGUGAAUACUCUCAACUUCGACCCUUUUUUCGGAAAGGGAGGAAGGUUGGACUUGGGUGUUUGUUGAAGUGCGAGCUUCGACUCAUCCUAAAUGCAUUAGCGAUCUGCCUCGAUCACACACAAUGUGAUAAUUAAAACUAAAGCAUUGUUUAAUGAUCAAGUCGAGACUGCUUCUAACUGUCGCAAGACAAUAACGUGCAUACAUUUGUGCAUGUCAUUUGACCUCAAAUCAGGUAGGACUACCCGCUGAACUUAAGCAUAUAAUAAGCGGAGGA
rnacentral:misc_RNA from 1 species